rnacentral:lncRNA from 1 species
UAAAAGGAAAAUAAAAAUGUACAAUUAAUUAACAUAUUGCAAUUGCUUUUAAUUCAUUAGGGUGGAAACCUUUUUAUGGAUGGUGCGAUCCUAAAUAAAGGAGUUUAGUCAAUUUAAAACCGAUUAAGCUUUUAAUUACCAAAUGCUCAAUUCAAUCAACCUUUUCUUAAAUUGCCCAUAUACACACAACCUUUUUCACAAUCAACACAAUUUCAAUUAAUAAAAUAAAUAAACUGUUCAUAGGCUAUGGAGAAAUGGAAUUAUCACCGUAAUUAAAGUAAUUUAGCUGUAAUUUAGGAAUACAUUAUUGUAAUUAGAUUAAUUUGAUCCUUUCCUUAUAGGUUGUCCAAAUUAACUAUAUAUGUAUCAUUGUAUUAUUGAUUUUAAAUAACAAAUAAAGAAGAUCUAGAAUAUUCUCCAUAUUAUUCACAUGGUAUCAGAGCCAAAACCCUAGACUUACUGUAGCCGCCGCCGUCGCCGCCGCCGGAAAAACUCUGCCGUGAAGUCCUGCCGUGAAGACGCUUCCGCGAACGCCAGAUCUCCCUUCAGUCAAUCUUCCUGCCGCAGCCUUCUUCCACGAACGCCAGACGCAAGACCUUCCCUCGGUCCUUGCCGUGAAGCCCUGCCGUGAAGCCCUGCCGUGAAGACACUUCCGCGAACGCCUUGCCGUGAAGCCCUGCCGUGAAGACACUUCCGCGAACGCCUUGCCGUGAAGCCCUGCCGUGAAGACACUUCCGCGAACACCUUGCCGUGAAGCCCUGCCGUGAAGACACUUCCGCGAACACCUUGCCGUGAAGCCCUGCCGUGAAGACGCUUCCGCGAACGCCAGAUCUCCCCUCGGUCAAUCUCCCUGCCGCAACCCUCUGCCGUGAAAACGCUUCCACGAACACCGCGCCGCGAACUCCAGCAACCUCCUACCAAUAUUCUGUGAACUGUAUACUCGCCGCCGUCGCAAGCACCCUCCUGCCUUGAAGACCUCUGCUGGCGACCUCCUGCCGUGAAGAAACAACCGCGCCGCGAACUCCAGCAACCUCCUGCCUCGAAUCCCAACUGCAAUUCCAGUGAAAUCCCAGCCACGAACUUUAGCCUCGAAUCCCAGCCGCAAAUACUCUGUGAAUCUCCAGCAGCUAAUUAUAUUUAGAUGGAGAAACAUGAAGUUGCUCGUCCCAUUAGCACCAUUCUCGAUGGAACUAAUUAUAUCACUUGGGCCCACCAAAUGAGGAGUUUUUUGAUAGGUCGAAAACUGUGGCGCAUCGUUACUGGAGAUAUCACUAAACCAGUCAAACCUACUCCUCCGAUGGACACCACUGAAAAUAUUGAUACAGACCCAUCUGAUGUCACUGUUCAAGAGACGACUGCAGAAACCGACAAAUAUGAUUCACACUCAAUUCUCCAGCAAAAUUAAAAUCUUUCGAACUGAUAAUGCGAUGGAAUAUAAGGACUCUCAACUUCUUUCCUUCCUUGCCCAGCAAGGCACUCUGAUUCAACGCUCCUGUCCUCACACCUCUCAGCAAAAUGGAAGAGCUGAACGCAAACAUCGUCACAUUCUUGACUCUGUU